GGCUGUCCUGCAGGCCCUGCAGACAGCCCACGCCGCCCAGGCGCUGGCCGCUCUCCCUCAGGAACAGGCUGUUGCCGUGGCUGCUCAUCACGUCCCUGCGGGGGACAGAGGAGACCAGGUAUCCAAAGUGGGAUGUUGUGUUUUCCAUAAGUAAGAUAAAAUGCGCGUAAAUCUAAAACCUGACAAUCUGUUUAACAACCAAACACUUGGAAGUUACAAAACAGCUUAGAAACUGUGUCUUUCAAACCAGCCCGGGGCCAUACUGUAAUUACAGCUACUCCAGAGGAUGAGAGAAGUUCAACGCCAGGCCAGCACCUGCAGUUUGGUGGGACCCUUUCUCAAAAGCUAAAAUUGGGAGCUAGUGGGCAGAGACUGGAAGACGGCUCAGUGGUGAAGGGUGGGUAUUACUCCUGUACCCAAUCAGGUAGCUCAAAACUGCUAUAACUCCAGUUCCAGAAGAUCAGUGCCCGCUCCUGGCCUCGUCUUACACUCACAUGUACACACACACACACACACACACACACACACACACACACACACGAGUAGCCUAAAAGGAAAAGAAAAUUCAUUUUUAAAGAGGGCUGGACUAUAUUGCUCAGUGGUAGGGUACUUGCCUGAUCAGCUCAGCUCCCCAAGUAGCUGGGAUUCUAGGCAUCCAUCACCACGAGCAACCUUGCACUGUUUUGUCGUUGUUUUGCUGCCGCUGUUCAGACAUGGUUGCCCUCCAUAUCUGUCUAAGUUACCCACCCACUGCGCCUUAAGACAGGCCAUGGGACGAGGCUUUCCACAUCAUAUAUCCUUCAAAUCAAAGCCCUGGUUCUCAGUCAGGAUUUUGCUCCCAAUGGACUGGUCCCCCGAAGCCUCAGUGUUGCUUCUCACCUUGCUGUGAACACUCACAGAUCCAGGACUGCAAGCUAUACAGAAAACGGGCAAUCUCUCCUCUCCUCUGGGACACCACGGUCCCACUUACUGAAUGAUAACUCGAAGUCACCCAUGAAUCCCAAGAGCAUUCAACUGGGUCCAUAGCAGAUAGGAGCCUGGACACUUGUCUCUUUCCUUUCUCUGCCCAGCAAGCUGUGCUGUACAGCUCAGACAGCUGGUUCUGCGUAUCCAACAAAGGACAUCCUCAGAUAGAACAACAUGGAUUGGAAAAUGCUCAGGGAAUAAAGGUUACCUUCUCAGCACUCAGGAGGCCGAAACAGGAGAAACAGGAGUUCGAGGCCAGCCUGGGUGGCAUAGAGAGAGUCAAUCAUCAGUCAAUCAACCAACUCACAUAUACCUGAAAGAGCUAUUGGCAGUUGAUGGACUGGGGAAGGUAGGCCAUUCAGUGCUUGUGGCCUGCGACACGUUGCCCGUGCUCCGGUGGAUGGUGCCUUAUACUCCUGGGCGUAGGAAAGCCACUAAAUGGACUCAGUAAAUUAUUUAAAGGAAGAAGAAAAAGAAGGGGAGGAGGCAGCAACCUGAAGUUAGGAGGAGAAUGUGAGGGGAGUUCAGGAAGACUUGAAGAAGAAAAGAAAGAAGGGGUAUACCUGUGCAGGUCAGAGGACAACUCUGGGGAGUCCAUUCUCUCCCUCCACCAGGUCCUCUCUGUGUGUCUGUCUCCUAAGCGACCUGUUCUGAAAAUCGCCUUUCCAAGGAUUCCCAACCUCUGCAAGAUGACACCGAGUUGGUUGCGUCAAGCACGUUAGUUCUGAGAACCGAGCCUCUGUAGAGAGUUUGACACAGGGCCCAGCGGGAGAAUAAAAGCCAACGCGGGAGACCCGGGCGAGAUGGCCCACUGCUUGAGCGGCAAGGCUGGCCACCUGCGUUUGAAGGAGAAAACCGACAGCCCAAGUUGUCACUCUGACCUCCACUCAUGUGCCCUGGCAAUCUCGCCUGCUGCUGCUGUUAUUGUUAUUAUUGGGCUACUAUCGGUGGCAGCCUCGUGGGCCUGGCGGAUUCCUUUACUUAUAUUUCAUUUGCAUGGCCUCACGAAAUAGACAGCACCACCCCAGUUUGCGAAGUGGCGGGUGCCCAGCCAAAGAGCUGUCCCCCAACUCCAGUCUUGGUACCGACGGCCCUGGCUCUAAUCGCCGAGCACGCUUGCUAAACAAGGUGGUUCUCAGUCUUAGCUGCAGCUUUCAAACACGAGGAAAACUUUUUAGAAUCCUGAUGCCAAAUCAAAACUGCACCGGGAUUCUACCCCCCUCCCCCAACCCUCAGUUAGCGUGGCUAUCACCAAGAAAAACAGCAAGGAAUUCUGGCGAGGAUGGAGGGAAGGAGAGCCUUCAUUCUGUGUUGGCCAGUGUGUGAGUGAGUGCAGCCAUUGCGAGCGUUCCUACAGAGGGUCCUCAAAAACUGGAAACAGGAACAUCACAUUGUCCAACCUGACCGUGCUUGAGAACAGACCUAAAGGAUUCCAACCCACAGAUCCACACACCAGGUGUGCGGCUCAUUCCACAAGUUCACCAACCCUUGAAUAGAUUAGAAACAAUCAGUAAGAAUAUGUACACAAGUGAAAUUUUACUCACCUGUAAAGAAUGAAAUGGUCGAAUUUUCAGGAAAACAAGGUAGAACUUGGAGUCGCCAUUUUACAUAUGUUUUUAUUUAUUCUUUGAGAAUUUCAUACAUGCAUACAAUGUAUUUUGAUUGUAUCCUCCUUCCAACCCUCCCCAGAACUUCGUGUUGGCUGAUUUUCAACCCACUGAGCCCCACUUGUGCUGCUCCUCUGUGGGGGCGUGGGGCCAUCCAUUGGAGCGUGGUCAGCCUACCAGGGACCACGCUCCUUAAAGGAAGCUGACUCCCCCGGCCCAAGCACUCAUCCUCAGCUGCUGUUUGGGGCUUGUGAGCUGGAGCGCUCACUGGCUAGAUCUUGUGCAGGCGACCAGAGUCUGUGUGAGUUCGUGAGUCCAACAGUCUUGUCGUGUCCAGAAGGCAUCGCCUCCCAACAUGGGCUGCCAAAAACUCCUGAUUCUGUUUGAACUUCAGACCAAUCGGAUCGCAUCCCUGAAAUGAAACCUAGACAUUGCUUUAUUUAAAUAAUCCUGCAGGUGAUGGUAAGGUUAAGUGGAUACCUACCAUAGAUGUAGGUGGGACCAGACCGCGCUUCCAAGCCACCCCUGCCUCCUCCGCACUCCCUCUGCUUCGCUCUCUGCCUGUGACCUGCUGUCCCUAUCUCUUUAUAUCUCAUUUUCACAGCCCUGCAAAGCAGGCAUUGCCAUUCGUGUUGGCAGACAUGACUCCCCAGUUCUGAUAUUUAUGUGUGCAACUCUUGCUCUGGUCCUGGAAUACAUUUGCUAACCAAGGUGGUUCUCAGCUCUACCUACCAGUGUAUCCAUAGAACCAAAUCAAAACUGCACCGAAGCUGCCCGUGUAAGGGCAGUUCUGUAAUUCAGAUACGGCGUGUCUGACCCUGUGCUUAAAGCUUCCACUGCGGAGCUGCCAACAAGGAAAGUUUCAGGAACUGCAGAGACAAGAGGAGCUGAAGAGAGUGAACAACCCAGCGCAACUUGGAAUCUCAUAGCGGAAGGAGGCUGCAGCUCAGAUCCGAAAUUCUCCAGGGUCCAAACCUUCCAUGGCCUACAGGAUGUCACAGAUGGAGAUUCCAUUCCUGACCAUACCUGACAAGCCACAGGGGCACUAAAAUUACUGUAGGCUAAGCAUGGUGUCACACACCUAUGAUACCUGCAUUUAGGAGUCUGAGGCAGGAAGAUUGCAAGCCCAAGGCCAGCCUGGGCUACAAGUAUGAACUUUCCUCUAAACAAAAUAAAACUCCUAUGUGAAAUGGCUUCAGACAACUGGUAUCAGGUGUGUGCAGCGUAACUGAAUUUUGUGUUUAGACUAGAGUCACAUCCCCAAGAGAUCACAUUGAGUACUCACCGAUAAUCCAAAAUCUGAAAAGAAAAUGCAAAAUCUGAAAGAGCAGCUGGGGUUGUUAAAGAACUUGCCACCCAAGUAUAAAAGCCAGGAGGGCAUGACAGCUACCUGCCUUUUCUCUAAGUUCAGACUCAGAAAGUAGAGACAAGAGGAUCUCCAGAGCAAGCUAGCUAAGGAGACAGGCAAUAUAGGUGGGCUCUGGGUUUGCUUGAGAGACCCUCCCUGCCUCAAUAAAUAAGGUGGAAGAGCAAUUGGAAGAUAAUUGCCAACAUCCAUAUUGGGUUUACUCGAACACACACACACACACACACACACACACACACACACACACUUUCUCCUUAGUUAAGACAGUCUAUCCUAGAAAAAGGCUCUUUGAGAUUAAGGAGGUUCUGA